UCUGAGACAGAAGCAAUAUAAUGUUGGGGAUGAGAAGAAACUCCAACUCUACUCUUGGUUUUACUCUUGACUCUACUUUUGGCUCUACUCUUGGCCUGGCUCUACUCUUGGUUCUACUAAUGGUUUCUGCACUUCCUGCUUGCAUAACUUUAAAACAUUAUGGAAACUCUCUAUGUCUUAUUAUCUUUAUUUGUAAUAUGUGGUUAUUAAACCUAUUUCCUAGCAUGGUUAUGAGGAUUAAAACAAUUGGACAUGAAAAAGGUAUAUCAUAAUGCCAGGCUUGAAGUAAGUGCUCAAUAAAUGAUAAUUUUUAUUGUUAACUUAGUACCUAAAUUAUUCCCUGCUACUGAGGUGGACUUUCUGGGAGGCACAAUGUGCUUGAUAUCUCUCGUUUGUCUCUCCAGGUCUCUACCAAAGUCCACAGCAUCUGUCAGGCCAACUUUUCCACACAGCCACUGUUAUAGGCUAGACUGUUUUCCCCCAAAUUCAUAUGUUGAAGUCUUAACCUCCAGUGCCUCGGUGUGACUAUAUUUGGAGACAGAGCCUGAAAGACGUAACUAAGAAGAGCUUAGGACACACAGAGGGAAGACCUGCGAAAUCCAGGAAGAAGACGCCGUCUACAAACCAAGGAAGAGACCCAGAAUGAAACCAAUCCUGCCGACACCUUUAUCUUGGACAUCCAGCCUCCAGAACUAUGAGGAAAUAAAUUUCUGUUGUUUAAGCGUGUGGUACUUCAUGGCAGCCCAAGCAACCCAUGAGGCCUGCUCUUCGGGUUGCCAUACUCACUGUUCCCUUGCCUUUUUAGACUUCGGGGUGGUAGCAACUUCCUGCUUUUGCUAUGGGCCCAGGAUAUUGUUCUGUUCCCUGAGGAUUUCUUAAAAUUUACCUAGAACUUUGAAAAUAGUCCUUUCAUUAAACUUUGCUUAAAUUA